rnacentral:rRNA from 1 species
CCUACGGGAGGCUGCAGUGGGGAAUAUUGCACAAUGGGGGAAACCCUGAUGCAGCGACGCCGCGUGAGUGAAGAAGUACUUCGUUAUGUAAAGCUCUAUCAGCAGGGAAGAAAAUGACGGUACCUGAGUAAGAUGCCCCGGCUAAAUACGUGCCAGCAGCCGCGGUAAUACGUAGGGGGCAAGCGUUAUCCGGAUUUACUGGGGGUAAAGGGAGCGUAGUCGGGAGUGCAAGUCUGGGGGGAAAGGCGGGGGCUCAAACCCCGGACUUGUCUGGAAACUGUACGGAGGGAGUGCAGGGGGGGGAAGGGGAAUUCCGAGGGGAGGGGUGAAAAGCGU